AGGGCCACAUCACGUUGAAACACCGGUUCCCAUACGAAGUUAAGCAACGUCGAACUUGAUCAGUACCUAGAUAGGUGACCGCUUGAGAAUAUCAGGUGCUGUAA